ACUCCCUAAGAUUCAGUUCCUCCCUCUCUAAAAAGAAGUCAAUUAGACUAGAUGACCUCUAAGGUCUUUUUCAGAUCUAAAUCAAUGAUUCUGCUUCUGAACUAUACACAUCUCUUUACUUCUGACUCCUACUUAUUAUUAUCAUGAUUCUGCUCUAAGAAUGGUUCCAAUUGUCUUGGAUUCUGGUCUUCAGUAGCUGAAGUGUCAAAGACAGUCCUGGCUUGACCUGCUGAGACUAUUGGCCACAAAAACAGCCCAUCCUGACUAAUUCAACUCACAACUAUCUCUCUUUCCUGAUUUAAUGUUUGUCAGAUGCUGCUUUCAUCAGUUGCUUUCCCUAGAAGAGAACAAAAGAACUUGCUACUUCAAGAUCACUCAGAGAUGGUGCUGGAUUUAAAAUCAGGAAUACCUUGAGUUUGAAGUUUGCCUCAGAUUUUUUUGGAGCUAAUAUUAUCCUAAGAACCUGACCAAGGACGGACUAGAUUUCUUCAAGAGGCAGGAACUUUCCACUUACUGGAGCAAUGGCUUGAUUAUGUUCUGGAGCCAAAAUGACUUUUCAUCAGACCCAGAUUAAACUAGAGAAAGUCUGAAGUUCCUUCCAGUUCUGCGAUAUGGACAAGUAUGACAAAUCCAUUCCAUAUGACAAUCCUUCCAAUAUAUGAAGACAGUUAUCAGUUCCACAUUUCCAACUGCCUUGCCAGCUUUUUCUUCUCCAAGUUACACAUCCUCAAGUCCUUCAAAUGAUCCAGUUCUUUUAUCAUCUAGCUCAUUUUACAGAUGAGGAAACCAAAAGGGAAGGCUAACAGAAUGAAGUGACCUGCUCGAGGUCAUACAGCUAGUAUUUAAGAUCAUAUUUUAACUCGUCUUCCUGACUCUCUAUCCAAUGAGCCAUCUAACUGCUCAUACAAGGUAGGUGCCUAAUCAAUGCUUUUAUUCAGUCCUU